AUUGAACGCUGGCGGCAUGCCUUACACAUGCAAGUCGAACGGCAGCAUGGAGAGCUUGCUCUCUGAUGGCGAGUGGCGAACGGGUGAGUAAAGCAUCGGAACGUACCGUGUAGUGGGGGAUAACGUAGCGAAAGUUACGCUAAUACCGCAUACGCCCUGAGGUGGAAAGCAGGGGAUCGUAAGACCUUGCGCCAUACGAGAGGCCGAUGUCAGAUUAGCUAGUUGGUAGGGUAAAGGCCUACCAAGGCGACGAUCUGUAGCGGGUCUGAGAGGAUGAUCCGCCACACUGGGACUGAGACACGGCCCAGACUCCUACGGGAGGCAGCAGUGGGGAAUUUUGGACAAUGGGGGCAACCCUGAUCCAGCCAUGCCGCGUGAGUGAAGAAGGCCUUCGGGUUGUAAAGCUCUUUCGGCCGGGAAGAAAUCGCACAGGCUAAUACCCUGUGUGGAUGACGGUACCGGCAUAAGAAGCACUGGCUAACUACGUGCCAGCCGCCGCCGUAA
rnacentral:rRNA from 1 species